rnacentral:rRNA from 1 species
UACGUAGGGUGCAAGCGUUGUCCGGAAUUAUUGGGCGUAAAGGGCUCGUAGGCGGUUUGUCGCGUCGGGAGUGAAAACCCAGGGCUUAACCCUGGGCUGGCUUCCGAUACGGGCAGACUAGAGGUAUGCAGGGGAGAACGGAAUUCCUGGUGUAGCGGUGAAAUGCGCAGAUAUCAGGAGGAACACCGGUGGCGAAGGCGGUUCUCUGGGCAUUACCUGACGCUGAGGAGCGAAAGUGUGGGGAGCGAACAGG